GUGCUCAUUUCUACAGCACAUAUACUAAAAUUGGAAUGAUACAGAGAUUAGCAUGGCCCCUUUGUAAGGAUGACAUGCAAAAUCGUGAAGCAUUCCACAUUUUA